rnacentral:rRNA from 1 species
AUUGAACGCUGGCGGCAGGCCUAACACAUGCAAGUCGAGCGGUAGAGAGGUGCUUGCAUCUCUUGAGAGCGGCGGACGGGUGAGUAAUGCCUAGGAAUCUGCCUAGUGGUGGGGGAUAACGUUCGGAAACGGACGCUAAUACCGCAUACGUCCUACGGGAGAAAGCGGGGGAUCUUCGGACCUCGCGCCAUUAGAUGAGCCUAGGUCGGAUUAGCUAGUUGGUGAGGUAAUGGCUCACCAAGGCGACGAUCCGUAACUGGUCUGAGAGGAUGAUCAGUCACACUGGAACUGAGACACGGUCCAGACUCCUACGGGAGGCAGCAGUGGGGGAAUAUUGGACAAUGGGCGAAAGACCUGAUCCAGCCAUGCCGCGUGUGUGAAGAAGGU